rnacentral:rRNA from 1 species
CCUACGGGAGGCAGCAGUGGGGAAUAUUGGGCAAUGGAGGAAACUCUGACCCAGCAACGCCGCGUGAAUGAUGAAGGUCUUCGGAUCGUAAAGUUCUUUUAUAAGGGAAGAAGGAAGUGACGGUUACUUAGGAAUAAGUCUCGGCUAACUGCGUGCCAGCAGCCGCGGUAAUACGUAGGAGGCGCGGGUUAUCCGGAAUGACUGGGCGUAAAGGGUGCGUAGGUGGUUUGGCAAGUUAGUAGCGUAACUCCAAGGCUCAACCUUGGAACUGCUACUAAAACGGUUGGACUGGAGUGCAGGAGGGGCAACCGGAAUUCCUAGUGUAGCGGUGGAAUGCGUAGAUAUUAGGAGGAACACCAGUGGCGAAGGCGAGUAGCUAGACUGUAACUGACACUGAGGCACGAAAGCGUGGGGAGCAAACAGGAUUAGAUACCCGUGUAGUC